rnacentral:tRNA from 1 species
GCUGGUGUAGCUCGAUUGACAGAGCGAUCGUCUUGUAAGCGAUGGGUUGUAGGUUCAAAUCCUACCACCAGCCCCA